AUAUAAAAGGGAAAAAAGGUGCGGCAUUUGAUUUUUUCCACUCGUAAUCAAUUCAUUGCUCUUUCUUCCUUCCAUGAUAACCAACCCUUUCGCUCAUUGUGUGUGAAAUAUGAAUCAGAGAUAAAGUCCUUAUUACAUAAAUGGGAUGCAGGAGAUGACCAGUCAGUUCUAUUCUAUCUUGAUAAAAGUCGUACUGUUGUCAUGAAGGGGUCAGGGGCGGCAAAGCUUGACGAUGGAGAGAGAGGAAGAAAGCACAAUCGACAAAGUAGAACUGAUAAGCAAAGCAAAGCAGAAUUGACAAAGCAAAACGGAAUUGAAAAAAGCACAGAUGAUGAGGAUUCAAAGGGAUGUAAAGCUGAAGAAAAGAAAAGAAAAAAAAAAGAAAAGGAAAAAAAAGAGGAUUUGUUUAUAUUUUCAUAAUUUUGAUUCAAUUGAUGUGUGUGUGUUUGUAUGUAAGUGUAAGUGUAAGUGUAUGUAUUGUUGUUUUUAUUUAUAUAUAUUUUUUUAUAUUUCAAUUCAUCCCUUUUCUCUUCCUCUCUCUCUCUCUCUCUCUUUCCCAUUUUCUCACUCUUUUUCGCUGUCUGGGUUUGCCUGUCUCGAUUGCUAAACGGUAACGCGGGAUUCUUAUCGUUGUACCACCAAUGUCAAGCGAAACUGUGGCACAUGCGAAAAAUUCCAUCGGCCAACUCUCUUGAAGUAGCACUCUCGUCAAUUCCUUCAACAAAUUUCUUCGAUAAGGAAAAACGCUAUUACACACGUGCAAACACUAACAAACGAAUGUUUGUGAUGUAUGUGCAAAGGGCUUUCUGUUGCCAGCACGACUAUCGUAAUAAAAAAGGAAAUUUUUUUUUCCUUUUUUUUUUUUUUCUUUUUUGUU